GACGAACGCUGGCGGCGUGCUUAACACAUGCAAGUCGAACGGAAAGGCCCCUUUGGGGGUCCUCGAGUGGCGCACGGGUGCGUAACACGUGAGUAACCUGCCCUUGACUUCGGGAUAACUUCAGGAAACUGGGGCUAAUACCGGAUAGGAAUCCUUGCUGCAUGGUGGGGGUUGGAAAGCUUCUGCGGUUUUGGAUGGACUCGCGGCUUAUCAGCUUGUUGGUGGGGUAGUGGCUUACCAAGGCUUUGACGGGUCGCCGGCCUGAGAGGGCGACCGGCCACAUUGGGACUGAGAUACGGCCCAGACUCCUACGGGAGGCAGAAGUGGGGAAUAUUGCACAAUGGGCGGAAGCCUGAUGCAGCAACGCCGCGUGCGGGAUGACGGCCUUCGGGUUGUAAACCGCUUUCAGCAGGGGCGAAGCUUGUGGUGACGGUACCUGCAGAAGAAGCACCGGCUAACUACGU
rnacentral:rRNA from 1 species